rnacentral:rRNA from 1 species
GACGAACGCUGGCGGCGUGCUUAACACAUGCAAGUGGAGCGGUAAGGCCCUUUCGGGGGUACACGAGCGGCGAACGGGUGAGUAACACGUGGGUGACCUGCCCUCAGCUCUGGGAUAAGCCUGGGAAACCGGGUCUAAUACUGGAUAUGACUCCAUGACGCAUGUUGUGGGGUGGAAAGCCUUGUGCGGCUGAGGAUGGGCCCGCGGCCUAUCAGCUUUGUUGGGUGGGGUGANGGCCCUACCAAGGCGACGACGGGUAGCCGGCCU